GAUGAACGCUGGCGGCGUGCCUAAUACAUGCAAGUCGAGCGAACGGACGAGAAGCUUGCUUCUCUGAUGUUAGCGGCGGACGGGUGAGUAACACGUGGCUAACCUACCUAUAAGACUGGGAUAACUUCGGGAAACCGGAGCUAAUACCGGAGAAUAUUUUGAACCGCAUGGUUCAAAAGUGAAAGACGGUCUUGCUGUCACUUAUAGCUGGAUCCGCGCUGCAUUAGCUAGUUGGUAAGGUAACGGCUUACCAAGGCAACGAUGCAUAGCCGACCUGAGAGGGUGAUCGGCCACCUGGGAACUGAGACACGGUCCAGACUCCUACGGGAGGCAGCAGUAGGGAAUCUUCCGCAAUGGGCGAAAGCCUGACGGAGCAACGCCGCGUGAGUGAUGAAGGUCUUAGGAUCGUAAAGCUCUGUUAUUAGGGAAGAACAUAUGUGUAAGUAGCUGUGCACAUCUUGACGGUACCUAAUCAGAAAGCCACGGCUAACUACGUG
rnacentral:rRNA from 1 species